UGCGUUAGGCAGUUGCUCCUGCGAAAACAGGGGAGGAAAGUCCGGACACGCACAUCGAAAGAUGUAGCACGGUAGCGGGUAACGCCCGUCGAGCGAGAGCUUAGGGAUGCGAACAGAAACGCCGAUGCCGAGAGGCUAGGGUUCCGAAAGGAAUGGUUCUGCAGAAAUGUAGAAAUGAAAUGGCAAAAUUCCUACCUGCGUGCAAGGCCGCGUUCGUCGGCGACCAAUUGGAGCUGACGAAAGAGCCGCUUGAGUCCAAGAGUAAUCGAGGAUCUAGAUAAAUGACUGCCCUCGACAGAAUCCGGCUUACUGCGCAGCAA
rnacentral:RNase_P_RNA from 1 species